rnacentral:rRNA from 1 species
UACAGAGGGUGCAAGCGUUGUCCGGAAUUACUGGGCGUAAAGGGCGCGUAGGCGGCUUGAUAAGUAGGAGGUGAAAUUUCGUGGCUCAACCACGAAACUGCCUUCUAAACUGUCUGGCUUGAGCACGGUAGAGGCAGAUGGAAUUCCCGGUGUAGCGGUGGAAUGCGUAGAUAUCGGGAAGAAUACCAGUGGCGAAGGCGUUCUGCUGGGCCGUUGCUGACGCUGAGGCACGACAGCGUGGGGAGCAAACAGG